GGUUGACCUCGAAUCAGGUAGGAAUACCCGCUGAACUUAAGCAUAUCAA
rnacentral:rRNA from 2 species